rnacentral:tRNA from 1 species
GGCCUGUUGGUCUAGUGGUAUGAUUCGCGUUUCGGGUACGUGAGGUCCCGGGUUCGACUCCCGGACAGGCCC